rnacentral:rRNA from 1 species
UACGUAGGGGGCAAGCGUUGUCCGGAAUCAUUGGGCGUAAAGAGCGCGUAGGCGGUCCGGUAAGUCAGCUGUGAAAGUCAUGGGCUCAACCCAUGAAAGCCGGUUGAUACUGUCGGGCUAGAGUCCGGAAGAGGCGAGUGGAAUUCCCGGUGUAGCGGUGAAAUGCGCAGAUAUCGGGAGGAACACCAAUGGCGAAGGCAGCUCGCUGGGACGGUACUGACGCUGAGGCGCGAAAGCGUGGGGAGCAAACAGG